rnacentral:misc_RNA from 1 species
CAACAGCUGCCACUAUCGCGCCACCUAAAAUCAAACAAAAAUGCCUCAAAAUCAAAAGAUACAGGAAAAACUGCUGAAAAAAAAAGGUGCUUGAAGAUGCAACAAAAUUCUGCUAAUGAAAUGUGAACAUUUAAGCACAUUACACAAUGCAUGACUGAGAUGAAGUUAUGAGACAAGAAAGGCUGGAAAAAAUUUUUUUGAAAAAAAAAAAAAAGGUUUCAUGCUGCCAACAUUCUUCUUUCUAAAGUGUGGCAAAAGUGGCUAUGCUGAAGUAUGAGAAGUAGUGAAUAACAGUGCAUAUACCCUAAGUUUCCCUGCACAAUUAUUGCAUUUCAUUAUUGGAUCCCCUCUUCUACCCACCUCAAACAACAACACCCGCUCCCUCUCUCCCUGCCACCUCCUCAUUGUUCCUUUAAAUGGGGCAGAGCAUAUAACAUUGUUCAAAUAGUGAAUUCCAAUGCUAAUAUUAGUGUAAAAUUUUGAAGACUUAGCGAGACAUUAAUAUUUGUUUUUCCCAUAAAAGUUAGCAAGAUAAUAGGCGCUCCAUUUCUUUCACUGAAAAUAUUUUUUGGUCAAACGAAAACCAAGUCAAUUCUAAGGAAAAUGACUAUUCUGGACCUUUAAAAACUAAUAAGGCAUGUUUUCUAUAAGGAAACUCCAUGGUCAUAUAGCCAUUAGAAUACUGUCUGUCCCUGAUCAUCUCUGC